GCGAUAGGAUGAGUCUGCGGAUGAUUAGCUAGUAGGCGGUGUGAUGGACCACCUAGGCUAUAAUCAUUAAGGGUCUUGAGAGAGAUAGCCCUGAGACGGAAUCUGAGACACUAUUCCGAGCCUUACGGGGUGCAGCAGGCGCGAAAACUUUGCAAUACACGAAAGUGUGACAAGGGGAUUCCAAGUGUGCAUAUACCAUAUGCACUUUUUCGAAGUUUAAAACGCUUUGGGAAUAAGGGGUGGGCAAGACUAGUGCCAGCCGCCGCGGUAAAACUAGCAUCUCGAGUGGCAGCCACAAUUACUGGGCUUAAAGCGUCCGUAGCUCGUUCAGAAAGUCCCCGGUGAAAUCCUAUGGCUUAACCAUAGGGCUUGCCAGGGAAACUCCUGGACUUGAAGGCAGGAGAGGUCAGGGGUACGUCCGGGGUAGGGGUGAAAUCCUAUAAUCCUAGACGGACCAACAGUGGCGAAGGCGCCUGACAUGAAUGCGCUUGACAGUGAGGGACGAGAGCCAGGGUCGCGAAACGGAUUAGAUACCCGUGUAGUCCUGGCCGUAAACGAUGUUGACUAGGUGGGGCGUGACCUUAGCGGUCAUGCUAUGCCGAAGGGAAACCGUUAAGUCAACUGCCUGGGGAGUACGACCGCAAGGUUGAAACUUAAAGGAAUUGGCGGGGGAGCAC
rnacentral:rRNA from 1 species